CAACCGGGGAGGGUCAUUGGAAACUGGGAGACUUGAGUGCAGAAGAGGAGAGUGGAACUCCAUGUGUAGCGGUGAAAUGCGUAGAUAUAUGGAAGAACACCAGUGGCGAAAGCGGCUCUCUGGUCUGUAACUGACGCUGAGGUUCGAAAGCGUGGGUAGCAAAC
rnacentral:rRNA from 1 species